rnacentral:siRNA from 1 species
AAUGUGUGAAGGUGUUUCCCGACA